rnacentral:lncRNA from 1 species
CAUGACUCAGGUGGAGCUGCUUACAUCCCCAGGUUUGAUAAGCAGGAGUAUCCCUCUCUGAACAAAUUCUGCAUUCCAUUCAAUUUUCUGAAGUUGUCAUGAAAAAUACUGCUUCUGUGCACAAAGAAUUCACCUUGAACUCACUGUGUUCUAUCAUAUUUCUCUUGGACCAGCUAUACCGUUAGUCAUUUAUUUACUGAUGGAAGCACCUGGGAAGAGUAAAUAGGAAAUCUGAAUGGGAAAAGCAAUUUAUCAAGGCUUUCUGCAGAGAACUGGCAAAAAAUGUGUCUCUUCAUAGGUCAAAGGAACAGGAAUGACUAGGUAAAAAAUUUAAAAUGGCUUACAGGAUAAACCAAGAUAAAGGCUUAGGAUCCACACGAGAAUGGGAGGAGAAACUGCUAUGAUUAGGGAACAGGAUGGGAAAGGGAUUGCUUUUAGUGUGUACACAAUGUGCCAGGAGCUGACUGGAAGUAAACAAAGAGACUGUAAGUCACCAGACAAACCAGAGCUGGAGCAAAAGGGUGCCUGGGGGAUACUGUGUGUCAUAUUCAGAAAAUAUCAUGGGGUAGGGAAGAACCUACUCAAGAAGCUGACAGAUAGGGCACCAAUAUCUUCUUCUGGGUGACUGCCUUCUGGGACAGAACAUAUUGCUGUUUUCUCCCAGUCAGCUGAGCUAAAGAAGGUGCCAGAACAGCAGCUGUGUAGUAGUGAAGAGCAAGCCACCCAGUCUUCUAUGGAAACACAGUACUCAAUGAAGGGGAAUUCAGUCUUGCUGAAACCGAGCUGGCUGAAAAUCUGCCGUGCAGCACCUAGGCUCCCUCUGGAGGGAGCGGAGCAGCACAAGCGCCUCCAGAUGGCGUCUGAUCCCGGCUCACCUGGCCGAGGAGGGAGAGCGAUUCCUAUUUCACGGGUGUGACAGAUGGCAGCAGAGGGGCAGUCUGACACAACGGCCUCUGAUGUGGAAGUGUGGAUCAAGUAAAGGUGUGUCACUGAAUUCCUUCAUGCAGAAAAAAUUGCACAGGUGUGCCUGCUGAGCAUUGAUGGAGACCAACCAGUGGAUGUGAGCACAGUUAGGCAGUGGGUGGUAGGCAUUUCAGCAGUGGAGACAGCGGGUUACUUCCACUGGUGCAGACUGUUAUGUGUGGCUCUUUUUCAUCACUGUUGAAAAUGCAACGCUCAUGGUGGUCACAGCUGAAAAAUCGUGUUUUGUAUUUAAGAAUUUGCUCUAUCAAACUGUGUUAUUGUGCCCUUUGUAUCCACUGUAGUUUCCGUGGAAAUAAAUAGAAGGCAUUAUGUGUGGAGCAACCUACAUACAUUCUGCUGGAUCUGGAAGUCCAAGAGAGGCAAGGCCUCUGCAACGCUGCACGCCUAGGUGCCUCCAGUAGUGAGCCUGAAAAUGUAUGUCCAGGAGGUACCUGCACACAGAGCACAUAGAUAUAUAUAUACCAGAUGCAUACACAUGCAUACAUCCAACUGGCCUCAUGAAUCCCGAACCAUCAAAUGAACAGAGCACCAAUGGCCUCACCUUUUCCCCUUCCUGGUGGAGUGAGUCCUUCACUGGGAGUGUAUAUCCUGUAUAUGAGAUGGAUCCAUUCAGCAGCUGGUCUUGUGCUCCCCAGCUUAUGGCACUUGGACACAUGAAGGCUCCGGGGAGACGUUAUAGUGGCAUUUGCAGUGCUUACAGAGCACCUACAGGAGAGAUGAAGAGGGGAUUCUUCAUCAAGGGUUGCAGUGACAGGACAAGGGCUAAUGGUUUUCAGCUAAAUGAGGAUAGGUUAAAGUUAGAUAUAAGAAAUAAAUUCUUCAUAAUGAGGGUGAUGAGGUCCUGGCAUAGGAUCCCCAGAGAAGCUGUGGAUGUCCCAUCUCUUGAAGUGCUCAAGGCCAGCUUAGAUGUGGCCCUGGGCAAUUUGACCUAGUGGAAGGUGUCCACACACAUGGCAGCAGAGUGGGAACUAGAUGGUCUUUAAAAUUGCAUCCAAUAAAAACAAUUCAAUGAUUCUGUGAUUCUAAAUGCAGAGCAGGGCCAGAAAAGUGCAUUCAACAGUGCUUGCUUAAAUACAAAUUAAUCCUUUUAUUUCCUUGUGUCUCUGUUUCCCCCAUUUUUCCCUACCCAAAUGACCUAAAUCCCUCCUUUUUUUUUUUUCUUACCUUUGAUCCUGCCCCUAAACAUCCUACAGUAAAUCCUGUGCAAUCCCAACUGUCCUUCCCUGCAUCCCAUAAUGUGUCUCAUGCCAAGGCAGCAACUGUCUGAAGUCCAAGUUGUUUCAGAGAACUGCUCCCAGUGUCUCACAGUGGUGAGUUUCACAACUGGAUGCCAGGGCUCUGGAUCUGCUGGCACAACCCUGGGAGGGUCCCAGACAGAAUGCCCCUUCCUGUGAGUCUUUGAGUCCCCCUAUCUGCCUUUGAUGGGUCUUUGAUGGGCUGGUGGCACCUGGGCCAGGGAGUGGUUUGGCAGGACUCCCCCCUCCUUAUUCCCUCUGAGGUUCAUUUGUAGGUCUGCAGACCAGCUUUUGUCAUAUACUGAGUUUAUCUUGUAACUAUACUGAGCUAAAAUUUAGUAAGACAAAAAAAAAAAAAUAGCUGCAUGAGACUAGAAGAGCCAUCCCAUCCUAAAUAUUUGCCUUCUGAGACAAAUUUGAUAUCCGGUCUGCUUUGGUUUUAAGUAUAUAUUAUAGCUCUGGCUAGUCUAUUACAGAUAUAAUUUACAUGUUAGGUCACUUCAUGUCCUAUCUGUCAGAACACACUAUCAUCACUACACAAAAGAUGUUUUCCUGUUUCUUUGAGAGAGUGCAGGAUGACAACAUCUCUUGAAUAAAUUUUGGUGGAUGAUAGAUAAUUUCAUCACCAAAAUUACAUCAAUUAUCAUCCUGUCUGCAUUUGUUAGUUUCGGGGGCGAGUUAGAGAGGAAAUGUGAUGAUGUUAUGUCAGUGGGUGUAAAAGCAGCUUUCAGUUCCUAAGCACUUCAUAAAAGUAAUGCUCUACCAUGCAACUUCACAGGGUCAUUCUUAAGUUCUCCGUUAUGCUUUGUACAACAAAUUUUACCUGCAAAUAAUGUGAAGUAAAAAAAAUAAAAAAAUAAAAAAAAUUCAAUCAUCCACUGUGUGAUUUCAAAAGAAUGUCAGUAGGAUAGAAAAUUUAGAACAUGAAUAGAUUCUUACUUAGUGUGCAUUUGUGUAGCCCCACUGAUUUUUCUACAGGCAGAAUUGACUUCAGCAAGCCUUGUCCCAGGAGGUGACCAAUAUUUCACUAAACUACGUUGGCAUGUCACCUGCCUCCUAUCCCCAAACAUAUAUCAGCAUGGCUUCUGAGCACCAAGCUUAUCUUCCAGGUUUUAUGUACAAUUAUAGUGUGAUAGAAGUCAGUAAAAAUCUCCUUCAUAGUUGGAGAUCUUAAGAGAUUUUCUGGUAAUGUGUUAGAAGUAGUGAUAAGCAAGGCAUGCUGUCAGUACCUGAAAAAAUAUCUUUUCUACUAUGUUUCAGAGUGGCCCAUAGUAGUUCUUGUUUAACAUCACGUCUAGUGGAUUAUCAACUGCUUUAUAGAAGAGUGAACUGUAAGUAACCUUAUAUU